UUAGUUUUGUCAAAUUCAUUGUUUAUUUUGAUAACCCAUCUUGUAAAGUGUUCAAAUUUUUGUUCAAUUAAUAAUAGUUUUUUUUGUAUGUAUAUUUAUAUCUAAACAAAAUUGGUAUUGAGUUAAAGUUGUCUUGAAUUAAAAAAGGAAAAAUAGAAAGAUAUUCUAAAGUGCCAACUAUAAUUUAAGCAAAACGAGAAUCAUGGGAAUAUAUGUAAGGACUCCAGAUACUAAGAACAGUAAACAUAAUGAUUUGCAAGAUAGAUUAACACAACAAAAGAAUUUAAAUAAUGAAGUUAACAUAGCUGCUUUUGGUUUAAAAGUAUUCUUUGGCGGUAUUGUGUUUGCGGGAGUAAUUGCCGGCAUAUUGUAUGGUGAUACACAAAUAAACGGUGAAGGCGUAUUUGCGAAUUCUACUACUGGAAAAGUACUGAGGAAUGCAGCAUGGUGUAUGGCAAUGCUGUCCUUUCCUUUGAAAAACUAAAAAAAACAAUUUCUAUUUUUUAUUUUUAUUAAAAAAUAAUUUUAUACCUAACACUUAUGCCAAACAAUUUUUUUCUCGUAAAAUAUAUACAUACUUUUUAUCUA